ACAUGCAAGUCGAGGGGCAGCAUGGUCUUAGCUUGCUAAGGCCGAUGGCGACCGGCGCACGGGUGAGUAACACGUAUCCAACCUGCCGUCUACUCUUGGACAGCCUUCUGAAAGGAAGAUUAAUACAAGAUGGCAUCAUGAGUCCGCAUGUUCACAUGAUUAAAGGUAUUCCGGUAGACGAUGGGGAUGCGUUCCAUUAGAUAGUAGGCGGGGUAACGGCCCACCUAGUCUUCGAUGGAUAGGGGUUCUGAGAGGAAGGUCCCCCACAUUGGAACUGAGACACGGUCCAAACUCCUACGGGAGGCAGCAGUGAGGAAUAUUGGUCAAUGGGCGAGAGCCUGAACCAGCCAAGUAGCGUGAAGGAUGACUGCCCUAUGGGUUGUAAACUUCUUUUAUAAAGGAAUAAAGUCGGGUAUGGAUACCCGUUUGCAUGUACUUUAUGAAUAAGGAUCGGCUAACUCCGUGCCAGCAGCCGCGGUAAUACGGAGGAUCCGAGCGUUAUCCGGAUUUAUUGGGUUUAAAGGGAGCGUAGAUGGAUGUUUAAGUCAGUUGUGAAAGUUUGCGGCUCAACCGUAAAAUUGCAGUUGAUACUGGAUAUCUUGAGUGCAGUUGAGGCAGGCGGAAUUCGUGGUGUAGCGGUGAAAUGCUUAGAUAUCACGAAGAACUCCGAUUGCGAAGGCAGCCUGCUAAGCUGCAACUGACAUUGAGGCUCGAAAGUGUGGGUAUCAAACAGGAUUAGAUACCCUGGUAGUCCACACGGUAAACGAUGAAUACUCGCUGUUUGCGAUAUACUGCAAGCGGCCAAGCGAAAGCGUUAAGUAUUCCACCUGGGGAGUACGCCGGCAACGGUGAAACUCAAAGGAAUUGACGGGGGCCCGCACAA
rnacentral:rRNA from 1 species